CCGCCUUUAGCGCAGCCUGGUAGCGCAUCUGGUUUGGGACCAGAGGGUCGCAGGUUCGAACCCUGCAAGGCGGACCA
rnacentral:tRNA from 1 species